AAGAAAACCAUUACUUGAAUCUCAUUUCAUUACACUGGAUUGGAUCCAAAUAACAUGAAUAAACAUGGUCAUAAUUCCCAUUAUUAGAUGGGUACUACACAUCAAUGGAUGAUUUCAGCGCUCUCAUCUUUUCUAGCCCAAUCAUAUAAGCAAAGGGCAUAAAUCACUAGUUUGGUUUAAUUAUAAGAAAUAGAGAAGAACGCAGAAUGUCGAAUUGUAAAAUUGUAAUACAAGAAAUCAUUGAAAGAUGAUACAAAUUAGAUUAUUCUGUCAAGAAUACCCUUCAUCAAUGAGAUAAAUACAUCAAUUUUUCGGAAAUAAUAUACUAUAAUUUAACCAUAGUUGAGGCGAAAAAUGUCAUUCUGCACAAAGAGGCUUCCCUGUGGAGAGGGAAUCAAGUGAAACAUCUGCAUCACAAACAACAUUCGAAUCAAACAGUCAUUUUUCAAAGCAUCUCCAUGCAUGCAUGGCAUAUUCGCAACUAGAAGAGGAGGACCAUAAUAAGCGAUUUGAUUUGUAGUAUUUGUAUGAAACUCACUAAUAUGCACGUAAAGAAGGAAAGAAGAGAAGGUAAAAUGAAAAACCUGGCUAAAUCUUAGGGGGUGAUCCUCUCCCAGCAGAUGUAAGCUGCCACUGACAAAGACCACAAUCCCACCGGCAAAAGAAGAGGGCUGUGAAUCAAUUGUGCUAACCACAUGUUUGCAUUGGUCAAAUGGCAAGUUGUUUAGCUUAUCGGAGAUAUCAUCAACGCCUAAUAUCUUCUGACCCUCAAAACUAAGCAUGGAGUUAGGCUGGUAGAGAUUAGCGAGAGAAGAUCGAUCAUUGUCGAAAAGGUUGUAGUAAUGGUUAACAAAUGCUCUUCCCACCGAUUCAACCUGUUCUUCCAUUUUCUCCCCUUCUCUCUGUACGAGUGAAUUCAAUCUUUCUCCUUUCUCGCCAGGCCAUGGUGCAUGUUUAAUAUAAAUGGAGAAUGAAUAUGCUAUAAAGAAAGCAAGCCAAUAAAGGGAAAAGGGUCCCUGAUUAUGACUAUAAUAUCCUUGUGCUUUUUGCCUAUGUAUAGCACUGAAUCAAAAAGGAAAAAAGGGUAUUAUUGUAAAUGGGAUUGAGAAUCGGCAUCGCUGUGUUCUUACGCAAAGUUGAAUGGUGUUAAAAGGAUUGUUUUUGGCAUCAACUUAGAGCAGAUUGAGAGGCUAGCUACUCUGCACUGUCGGGCCUUUUGGCCGUCCAAAAUAAUUUAAUAAACUUUCUACGUCAGCUUCUGUAAAUGUUCAAUAAACCCUAAAGAUCAUAUGCAACCAGGAAAGAGAGAUGGGUCUAAAAAGAUGAAAAAAUGUCUGCAUUUAGAAAUAGGGUUUUCGACAGGUUAAUUAGAAGAUGAAAACUUCAAUGAGCGUAAGGAGAACGCUUUGGUGCUCUGAGCCGAAAGCAUGGAAUAUAUCCCAUAUCCUUUGCUUCAGACUCAGACCUUUUAUCUCCAUUCCAAGAUUGGUACCAUACUACUUCCCUUUAGAAGUGUUAACGUAUGGGUUUCAAACUUUCAAUCAUUUGUUAGUAAUCUAACGAAACUACACGUUCAGGAACCAUUAAGUUCCCAUGUGGAAGGAAUUGUGUUAUAUGCAUAUUGGAUUUUGUCCAUCUUACGUAAGUUUUGAAUGCAGGAGGGAAAGGUGAUACCCAAUUGGCCUUUGACACACAAGAAGCAUUAUUUCCAAAUACCGAUCCAACAAGACAAUUACAGCAAGAAAAUACGAAGGCAGGGUGCAGUGAAAAUGUAAUAUAAGGUUAGUAAGCCUGGACCCUAAGCUAAUUAUAGAUCUGACCCAUAAAGGAUACAUAGAGAUACAUCACAAUAAAAAUUAACAAUUGGGCUUAACAGGCAGUCGAACAAAUAUGCUCGACAAACCUUGGCCUUAUAAAAAAAUUUAUCAGAGGCCCUUAAUAGGUAGGUCCAGGAACCAGCUCACAAUGCUACUCUGAAGUCUCAAAUCUCGAUUCAUAAAAACAUUAAAACAAACAAUAACCCUUUUCUCUGCUACGUGUAUGAGGGCCUCUCAAAUUGUAAGCUUACCAGCAUUCUCAGUGCAGUUUACAAAGCUAGAAAGAUCAAAUAAAUCCAUUAAUGCAAGCUAUAUGCUAAAUUGCUAAUGUUUUGUAGCUCACCAUUGGCGAAAAUCUACUCCAUGGUGAUGAAUAUGCAUGCAGCUCAGAUGUGUGACUAAAAGGCCAAACAUGCCUGAUUUUGGGAAUGGCUUCUCUGGGUAAUAGACCACAUCAUAAGUUUACUUAGUUCUUCCCAACAUGGCUGUGAUGAAUAACCCG
rnacentral:misc_RNA from 1 species